rnacentral:lncRNA from 1 species
UGAAUCCUUUUGAAUCUGGCUCAUUUCCUACUGGUAUACAGUCUAAGUCACAGACCAGGUAGUUUGAUGCUCAUCGCAUGGUAAGUGCUUUAGAAAUAUGAAAUGGCCAAAUAAAAGGAUUGCAAGAUAUUUCUCCUGCUUAUUCGGGUCAGUUUUAUUUCCUAACCUUGGAGACAUGACUGUUCUGGAAACAGAAUGUUGAAUUAAAUAGAAAGUGGAUACACAGUCCAGGAGUUCUGCCAUCUCAGAAAUAUAGACCUGAAGCUCUACUUUUAUGUCAAGUCCAGAGUCACCUGAAUGCUAUCCUCCAAGGAGCUCAGGACGGAUUUGAGUGCCAUGCAUGGGUCUUCUGGCCUCAUCUGUGACCGGUGUCACAGCACCUGGAAGAAGUCCUGUUCUUCUCCAAGCAGCUCCCUGCGGCUUGUCUUUAUUGCACUGUCAUGUGACAUCUCUCAUGUGACAUCCCUCAUGUCACAUCCCUCAACAUUUUAGAGGCUGCCUUUGCUGUGAAGGUCAAGGUCAGACUUAGAAUCUCCUGUCAGUCGGUUUGGUCCUGAUCCGUUGGAAGCUUGGCAGGAGAGUAGAGUUGAGAGCAAAGUCAGGAUUUCCUGUUGGGAAAGAAACGCCAAGGGGCGGGCAGAGAGAAAAAUACAAUGGCAAAGUAAAGCCACCUGUCAAAACCCCGGGGAGCAAAAAUUACAAACACAGAAAGGUGUCUCGGUGAAGAGAUUCACGGGAGAGCAAAACCAAAGCAAGCCUAUCUACCGCAGAAGACAGGCAGAGGAUCCCAAACACACAUCUACCUCCUGCUUAGGAGCCACACUCUGCCCAAGAGGCGUGGCCUUCUUGACCCCUCCAGAAAGAGUUUUGUGAGAGCUCUAGACAGAUGGAAAGCCUCACUUUGUGAUCAGGGAAGCCCUAUGGCACAAUUACAGUACCAAAGGCAGGCCUGGUGAACCAAUCGAAAAUUCCCUUCAGGCAACAUCAUUACAGCAUAAAAACCAGUACUGAAUCGACCCUACCCUGCCUUCCUCCCAAGCUCUGUGGUGCGCGCAGUCACUCUUUCCUCGGGAAGGCACUGAGUAGGUGUUCUGCAGGCACAUGGACUCUUUCACAUUGGAAAGCCACCUGCCUUCUGGUGCCCAGAGAAGCCAUGCUGCCUGCAGGAUGUGCUUUCGGCUGGGGUCCAGACACCCUGGCAGGUUUUCAGGGAUCUGUGCCACGUCUCUGCCAAAUGAACUCUUACAGCCAAGGACAGACACGCAGUCUGGUGCCCAGGAGCGUAGGGAAGAAACCUUGGUCUUGCUAGAAUCAAGAGUCUCAGUUUAUAUGCACCAAGGGUGAGGAACUGAAGGGUCAGUGUGGGUGUUUGCCCAGGAUGUACAUGUCUGUAAUCAAAGAUCUUGGGUUUACAGAAAGCAGUUUCACAUGUCUUGGGUCUGAGACAAUAUUUUGAAGAUUCACGGUGUAAUUAGAACAACAAAAUAGAUGCAGACUCCAGUCUAAAGGGGAAUGCUUGCAUCACCAGGGACAGGAGAAGGGUUCGAACUCUCCAGGCCUCCAGCUUCUGUGGGUCUAGCCUGAUUGAUAUGGGCAGGUAGGAACUACAAUUCAAAAGGCAAAGAUUGGCAAAUGUCCCCACUGUGUGCUGUACACGCCUACUCUAUGUAUGAAGUUUUUGUACCUUUAUUUAUCCCCUAGUUUCUAAGCCCCUAGUGUCUGUGCUUAUUCAUUUAUAGUCUUCUCUGUACUCAGAAGCUUCUUUGGGACUAUUUUAUUUUCUUGGUGUUGCUUGGCAUGGAGCCUGGGACAUCAUGUAUCCGAGGCAAACGCUCUACCAGGGUGCCCCAGCCUCUGCCCUUGUUUUUGGUUUCUUUGAAAUAGGUUGGGUCAUGUUGCCCAGGUAAUCUCAAACUCCUCCUAUGCCCAACCUCCCAAGUAACCCAGACCAUGGCUGUUCAACACAGUUGGCUGGCUUGAUGUUCUUCUAAUCAGUAAAACAAUAAAUGUAAUCUCAGAGACCAUGAAGCACAGCUCCUGGCCAUGUGCUGUGUAAAGGCUAGACACAAUGACAACAAGGGUGGUGUCUUGAGUUAAUGGGUGUCUUUUUGUCUGUCUUUGUCUUCCCUCCACCAUUAAGCAUUAUCUUUUCUCCUUUAACUAUAGACUCUUUAUCAUGCUCUACAUUAACUGAGAUGUGAGAUUUUGCUAUAUUUUCUCAUUUCAAUUCAGCAUGGAUAGGUGCCAGACAUUCACAUGGGUUUAGAAGUCAUGAAUCAUGGUUUGAAUCUGAAAUUUCCUUUACAAGCUCAUGUCUUGAAUACUUGUUUCCAAUGUUUGAAUGGUGGCACUAUUUUGGGGAGGUUGGGGGACCUUUUGGUGGUAGGACGUGGCUCACAGCAAUAGUCCAAUAGGGGCACAGCCCUUAAGUGUUACAGCCUGGUUUCUGGUUAUUUCCUCUCUGCUCCCUGUUCCACUGUGAUGUAAGCAGUCUAUGGCAGGCAUUGCUGCUUCUGGGAGCUGGGCUGCUUGGCCGUGUCUUCCUCUCCAUGAUGAGGACUCCCUAAAACUGUGAGCCAAAAUAAAUUCUCUCAGCCCUGU